ACCGUACUCCUACGGGAGGCAGCAGUGGGGAAUUUUGGACAAUGGGGGCAACCCUGAUCCAGCAAUGCCGCGUGAGUGAAGAAGGCCUUCGGGUUGUAAAGCUCUUUUGUCAGGGAAGAAACGGUAGUAGCUAAUAUCUAUUACUAAUGACGGUACCUGAAGAAUAAGCACCGGCUAACUACGUGCCAGCAGCCGCGGUAAUACGUAGGGUGCAAGCGUUAAUCGGAAUUACUGGGCGUAAAGCGUGCGCAGGCGGUUGUGUAAGUCAGAUGUGAAAUCCCCGGGCUCAACCUGGGAAUUGCAUUUGAGACUGAUCGGCUAGAGUGUGUCAGAGGGGGGUAGAAUUCCACGUGUAGCAGUGAAAUGCGUAAAUAUGUGGAGGAAUACCGAUGGCGAAGGCAGCCCCCUGAGAUAACACUGACGCUCAUGCACGAAAGCGUGGGGAUCGAACAGGAUUAGAUACCCGAGUAGUCCUUGAC
rnacentral:rRNA from 1 species